CAGCAGCCGCGGUAAUACGGAGGGGGCUAGCGUUGUUCGGAAUUACUGGGCGUAAAGCGUGCGUAGGUGGUUGUUUAAGUCUGCUGUGAAAGCCCUGGGCUCAACCUGGGAAUUGCAGUGGAUACUGGGCAACUAGAGUAAGGUAGAGGAUAGUGGAAUUUCCGGUGUAGCAGUGAAAUGCGUAGAGAUCGGAAGGAACAUCUGUGGCGAAGGCGACUAUCUGGGCCAUUACUGACACUGAGGCACGAAAGCGUGGGGAGCAAACAGGAUUAGAUACCCGUGUAGUCCCUGUCUCUUAUAC
rnacentral:rRNA from 1 species